rnacentral:rRNA from 1 species
CAGUAGCCACGGGAAUACGUAGGGUGCGAGCGUUAAUCGGAAUUACUGGGCGUAAAGCGUGCGCAGGCGGUUCGUUAAGACAGAUGUGAAAUCCCCGGGCUUAACCUGGGAACUGCAUUUGUGACUGGCGAGCUAGAGUAUGGCAGAGGGGGGUAGAAUUCCACGUGUAGCAGUGAAAUGCGUAGAGAUGUGGAGGAAUACCGAUGGCGAAGGCAGCCCCCUGGGCCAAUACUGACGCUCAUGCACGAAAGCGUGGGGAGCAAACAGGAUUAGAUACCCCCGUAGUCCCUGUCUCUUAUAC